rnacentral:tRNA from 1 species
AUCAGAGUAGAGAAGUGGUCAUCUCACUAGGUUCAUUGCCUAGAGAUCGGAGGUUCGAAUCCUCCCUCUGAAACCA